rnacentral:rRNA from 1 species
CCUACGGGGUGCAGCAGUGGGGAAUAUUGGACAAUGGGCGAAAGCCUGAUCCAGCCAUGCCGCGUGUGUGAAGAAGGCCUUCGGGUUGUAAAGCACUUUCAGUGGGGAAGAAAGCCUUGGGGCUAAUACCCUCGAGGAAGGACAUCACCCACAGAAGAAGCACCGGCUAACUCCGUGCCAGCAGCCGCGGUAAUACGGAGGGUGCGAGCGUUAAUCGGAAUUACUGGGCGUAAAGCGCGCGUAGGCGGUCUGAUAAGCCGGUUGUGAAAGCCCCGGGCUCAACCUGGGAACGGCAUCCGGAACUGUCAGGCUAGAGUGCAGGAGAGGAAGGUAGAAUUCCCGGUGUAGCGGUGAAAUGCGUAGAGAUCGGGAGGAAUACCAGUGGCGAAGGCGGCCUUCUGGACUGACACUGACGCUGAGGUGCGAAAGCGUGGGUAGCAAACAGGAUUAGAUACCCUAGUAGUC